rnacentral:rRNA from 1 species
GACGAACCGUACGAACGUUAUUCGGAAUCACUGGGCUUAAAGGGUGCGUAGGCUGCGCGGAAAGUUGGGUGUGAAAUCCCUCGGCUCAACCGAGGAACUGCGCCCAAAACUGCCGUGCUCGAGGGAGACAGAGGUGAGCGGAACUUAGGGUGGAGCGGUGAAAUGCGUUGAUAUCCUAAGGAACACCGGUGGCGAAAGCGGCCGGCUGGGGGUGACCUGACGCUGAGGCGCGAAAGCGUGGGGAGCGAACCGG